ACGCUGGGCGCAGGCCUAACACAUGCAAGUCGAGCGGUAACAGAAAGUAGCUUGCUACUUUGCUGACGAGCGGCGGACGGGUGAGUAAUGCCUGGGAAUAUGCCUUGAUGUGGGGGAUAACUAUUGGAAACGAUAGCUAAUACCGCAUAAUGUCUUCGGACCAAAGAGGGGGAUCUUCGGACCUCUCGCGUCAAGAUUAGCCCAGGUGAGAUUAGCUAGUUGGUGGGGUAAGAGCUCACCAAGGCGACGAUCUCUAGCUGGUCUGAGAGGAUGAUCAGCCACACUGGAACUGAGACACGGUCCAGACUCCUACGGGAGGCAGCAGUGGGGAAUAUUGCACAAUGGGCGAAAGCCUGAUGCAGCCAUGCCGCGUGUAUGAAGAAGGCCUUCGGGUUGUAAAGUACUUUCAGUCGUGAGGAAGGGUGUGCAGUUAAUAGCUYUACAUCUUGACGUUAGCGACAGAAGAAGCACCGGCUAACUCCGUGCCAGCAGCCGCGGUAAUACGGAGGGUGCGAGCGUUAAUCGGAAUUACUGGGCGUAAAGCGCAUGCAGGUGGUUCAUUAAGUCAGAUGUGAAAGCCCGGGGCUCAACCUCGGAACCGCAUUUGAAACUGGUGAACUAGAGUGCUGUAGAGGGGGGUAGAAUUUCAGGUGUAGCGGUGAAAUGCGUAGAGAUCUGAAGGAAUACCAGUGGCGAAGGCGGCCCCCUGGACA
rnacentral:rRNA from 1 species